rnacentral:rRNA from 1 species
ACGAACGCUGGCGGCGUGGAUAAGACAUGCAAGUCGAACGAGAGAAUUGCUAGCUUGCUAAUAAUUCUCUAGUGGCGCACGGGUGAGUAACACGUGAGUAACCUGCCCCCGAGAGCGGGAUAGCCCUGGGAAACUGGGAUUAAUACCGCAUAGUAUCGAAAGAUUAAAGCAGCAAUGCGCUUGGGGAUGGGCUCGCGGCCUAUUAGUUAGUUGGUGAGGUAACGGCUCACCAAGGCGAUGACGGGUAGCCGGUCUGAGAGGAUGUCCGGCCACACUGGAACUGAGACACGGUCCAGACACCUACGGGUGGCAGCAGUCGAGAAUCAUUCACAAUGGGGGAAACCCUGAUGGUGCGACGCCGCGUGGGGGAAUGAAGGUCUUCGGAUUGUAAACCCCUGUCAUGUGGGAGCAAAUUAAAAAGAUAGUACCACAAGAGGAAGAGACGGCUAACUCUGUGCCAGCAGCCGCGGUAAUACAGAGGUCUCAAGCGUUGUUCGGAAUCACUGGGCGUAAAGCGUGCGUAGGCUGUUUCGUAAGUCGUGUGUGAAAGGCGCGGGCUCAACCCGCGGACGGCACAUGAUACUGCGAGACUAGAGUAAUGGAGGGGGAACCGGAAUUCUCGGUGUAGCAGUGAAAUGCGUAGAUAUCGAGAGGAACACUCGUGGCGAAGGCGGGUUCCUGGACAUUAACUGACGCUGAGGCACGAAGGCCAGGGGAGCGAAAGGGAUUAGAUACCCCUGUAGUCCUGGCAGUAAACGGUGCACGCUUGGUGUGCGGGGAAUCGACCCCCUGCGUGCCGGAGCUAACGCGUUAAGCGUGCCGCCUGGGGAGUACGGUCGCAAGAUUAAAACUCAAAGAAAUUGACAGGGACCCGCACAAGCGGUGGAGUAUGUGGCUUAAUUCGAUGCAACGCGAAGAACCUUACCUGGGCUUGACAUGUAAUGAACAACAUGUGAAAGCAUUCUACUCUUCGGAUGCGUUACACAGGUUCUGCAUGGCCGUCUUCAGCUCGUGUCUUGAGAUGUUUGGUUAAUUCCAGCAACGAGCGCAACCCCUGUUGCCAGUUACCAGCACGUGAAGGUGGGGACUCUGGCGAGACUGCCCAGAUCAACUGGGAGGAAGGUGGGGACGACGUCAGGUCAGUAUGGCCCUUAUGCCCAGGGCUGCACACGUACUACAAUGCCCAGUACAGAGGGGGCCGAAGCCGCGAGGCGGAGGAAAUCCUAAAAACUGGGCCCAGUUCGGACUGUAGGCUGCAACCCGCCUACACGAAGCCGGAAUCGCUAGUAAUGGCGCAUCAGCUACGGCGCCGUGAAUACGUUCCCGGGUCUUGUACACACCGCCCGUCACAUCAUGGAAGCCGGUCGCACCCGAAGUAUCUGAAGCCAACCGCAAGGAGGCAGGGUCCUAAGGUGAGACUGGUAACUGGGAUG